rnacentral:piRNA from 1 species
UACAUGGACUCUUACGAUAUUGUUUUAGU